CCGGGUCUAGUAGAGCUGUGCUGUGUUGGGCCUGGUCUAGUAGAGCUGUGUUGUGAUGGGCCGGAUCUAGUAGAGCUGUGUUGUGAUGGGCCAGGUCUAGUAGAGCUGUGUUGUGAUGGGCCGGGUCUAGUAGAGCUGUGUUGUGAUGGGCCAGGUCUAGUAGAGCUGUGUUGUGAUGGGACGGGUCUAGUAGAGCUGUGUUGUGAUGGGCUGGGUCCAUUAGGGCUGUGUUGUGAUGGGGUCUAGUAGAGCUGUGUUGUGAUGGGCCGGGUCUGGUCGUGCUGUCCUGAGGCGGGUCUGGUCUGGUAAAUCUGUGCUGUGUUGGGCCUGGUCUAGUAGAGCUGUGUUGUGAUGGGCCGGGUCUAGUAGAGCUGUGUUGUGAUGGGCCAGGUCUAGUAGAGCUGUGUUGUGAUGGGCCGGGUCUAGUAGAGCUGUGUUGUGAUGGGCCAGGUCUAGUAGAGCUGUGUUGUGAUGGGCCGGGUCUAGUAGAGCUGUGUUGUGAUGGGCCAGGUCUAGUAGAGCUGUGUUGUGAUGGGCCAGGUCUAGUAGAGCUGUGUUGUGAUGGGACGGGUCUAGUAGAGCUGUGUUGUGAUGGGACGGGUCUAGUAGAGCUGUGUUGUGAUGGGACGGGUCUAGUAGAGCUGUGUUGUGAUGGGACGGGUCUAGUAGAGCUGUGUUGUGAUGGGACGGGUCUAGUAGAGCUGUGUUGUGAUGGGACGGGUCUAGUAGAGCUGUGUUGUGAUGGGCCAGGUCUAGUAGAGCUGUGUUGUGAUGGGCCAGGUCUAGUAGAGCUGUGUUGUGAUGGGACGGGUCUAGUAGAGCUGUGUUGUGAUGGGACGGGUCUAGUAGAGCUGUGUUGUGAUGGGACGGGUCUAGUUGUGCUGUCCUGAGGCGGGUCUGGUCUGGUAAAUAUGUGCAGUGUUGGGCCUG